AACUACUCCAGUGGCUUAGUGGUUAGAGAGUCCACCUCGGAUGCGAAAGGUCAUGGGUUCGAUCCCUGGCAGAGUCA